rnacentral:misc_RNA from 1 species
UACGGAGGAUCCAAGCGUUAUCCGGAAUCAUUGGGUUUAAAGGGUCCGUAGGCGGGAUAAUAAGUCAGUGGUGAAAGUCUGCAGCUCAACUGUAGAAUUGCCAUUGAUACUGUUGUUCUUGAGUGUUUAUGAAGUGGUUAGAAUAUGUAGUGUAGCGGUGAAAUGCAUAGAUAUUACAUAGAAUACCGAUUGCGAAGGCAGAUCACUAAUAAAAUACUGACGCUGAUGGACGAAAGCGUAGGUAGCGAACAGG